GUGAGUUAUAGACUUGUAAUUAGAAGGUAAUGCAGUUUAACUUUAUAGACUUUAAUUAACAGCACUUGUCUAGAAAUUAGUCAAGUCUUGGUAGAUGGGGGAAAUUUCAAAACCUUGUGUGGGUACAGGCAGGCCAUACUUAUAUUGACAUCUAAAUCUUGCCACUUCAAACUUCACAUGGAGGAAAAUACAUAAUUCAAAAAACUGAAAAAGUUAUUGGGUCCUCUUUCCAAGAGGGCCUGCACCAAAACCAAACAAUUUGUCAACACCUUAGUUUCUCAAUAACUCCCAAUUGCUCCUUAACAGCACACACACAUCCUGAUGUGCCCUUGGGGAAACACUCCCCAUUUUUCAUUGAAAAAGUCACUUAAAUAUUGCCAGAUGUGCAUAAAUCAAACACUUAGAUCUGGUGAUUUAUUGUUAGAAGUAAAUCAUAAUAAUUCAGAUCUGAUCUUAAAGACAGUGAAACUUGCUGAUAAAUCAGUAACUUUUUCUUUGCACAAAACCCUCAACACACCAAUGGGUAAGCAGUGAGCUUGAUUUAUUAGAUGUUACUGAUGAGGAGUUGUCCUAAAUCUAUUUUAUUU
rnacentral:lncRNA from 1 species